rnacentral:rRNA from 1 species
UAGCGGAGGAAAAGAAACUAACAAGGAUUCCCCUAGUAACGGCGAGUGAACCGGGAAGAGCUCAAAUUUGAAAUCUGGCGUCCUUCGGGCGUCCGAGUUGUAAUCUAUAGAAACGUUUUCCGUGCCGGACCGUGUCCAAGUCCCUUGGAACAGGGUAUCAGAGAGGGUGACAAUCCCGUACUUGACACGACGACCGGUGCUCUGUGAUACGUUCUCUACGAGUCGAGUUGUUUGGGAAUGCAGCUCAAAAUGGGUGGUAAACUCCAUCUAAAGCUAAAUAUUGGUGGGAGACCGAUAGCGAACAAGUACCGUGAGGGAAAGAUGAAAAGCACUUUGGAAAGAGAGUUAAACAGUAUGUGAAAUUGUUGAAAGGGAAACGAUUGAAGUCAGUCGUGACCGUUGGGUUCAGCCGGUUCUGCCGGUCUACUCCCUUCGGUCGGGUCAACAUCGGUUUUGACCGGCGGAUAAGGAAGGGAGGAAUGUGGCACCCUCCGGGGUGUGUUAUAGCCUCUCGUCGCAUACGUCGGUCGAGACCGAGGAACGCAGCUCGCCUUUAUGGCCGGGGUUCGCCCACGUCCGAGCUUAGGAUGUUGACAUAAUGGCUUUAAACGACCCGUCUUGAAAC